rnacentral:rRNA from 1 species
UACGGGGGGGGGCAAGCGUUGUUCGGAAUUACUGGGCGUAAAGGGCUCGUAGGUGGCCAACUAAGUCAGACGUGAAAUCCCUCGGCUUAACCGGGGAACUGCGGUCUGAUACUGGAUGGCUUGAGUUGGGAGAGGGAUGCGGAAUUCCAGGUGUAGGCGGUGAAAUGCGUAGAUAUCAUGGAGGAACACCAGUGGCGAAGGGCAGCCUCCGUGGGACC